GAGGACUGACGCUAUUUGCCACUGAGGAAAAUCUGCCUUGUAUAGCUGAUGUUCUGAUGAAAUUGUUAAAGACAGAUAACCUGGCUGAACUUGACCUGGCGAACAAUGCUUUGUUGCACAUUUUAAAAAUCGAUGCCAAAGGCACAUUACGAAAGUUGAUUUAUCAGAUUCGGACUGGAAAAGAUAUUGUCAGAGAGAGAGCCAUCAACUUCCUUUCCC